AGCCGCCACCGGGGCCGCCGCCGCCGGAGCGGCCCCGGCCGCGGCCCCGGGAGCCGCAGGACGGGCGGCGGGGACCGCGGCGCUCUCGGCGUCGGCGGGGCGGGCGGCGGGCGCGGGGCAGCGGCGGCAGCAGCAGCAGCAGCAGCGGGGGCCGCCGCCCCACGGCGGAGCCACGUCGGGGCGGGACGGCGCGGCGGCCGCCAGAGUCCCGGCGGUGCCCGGCGGCGGGCGGCAGUGCCCUAGGGCUGGCAGGGGCAGCGCCGCACUCUCUCCUGCCACCGUGCGUGCGUGUUUGCAAGCGGCCGCCGCGCCUCCUGGCUCCUGCUGCUGCUGCUGCUUCCAGACCCACUUUCUCGCCCCCUCGCUCUGUGUCGGGAGAGCUCAUGCUCCAGCCUAGCGUGUCCCCCCCACACCCUGCUCCCCUCCUCCCUGUGCCGACCUGCCCCUCUGCAAGCCCUGCUUUGCCAGGACACCCCACUGCUGCACCCACACCCCUGUCCCACAGACAGCUGCACCUUGUGUCCCGACUGCCACCACUGCUCCCCUGGGACAGAGCUGCACUGAAGUGACACAUCCCCUUCAGUGGUCUGUGUGUCCCUGGUAGGACUUGGGCCACUGGGGUUUGACAUUCCUCACUCUUAUUUCCCUUCCUCUUGCUUGCUGGCUGCCUCAGUGCCAUGGAGAAAAAAUUCUCUCUUAGAUGGGAGGCCCCCAAAUUUAGAAGUAACGUGGAUUUGAAAAUACGUGAAAGUCAGGCUUGGAUUAUCACUUGCUGUAAGUCAGUAUCUUUGCAUCCAGUCUGAGGGAACCAGACCUCUUUCCGAGUGCUCAAGAUACAACUCAGUGUAACAAGAACAAAUACAGCUCAAAUCAGUUUGAAGCAUAAAUAAAGUCACCUAUCAAAAGA